rnacentral:lncRNA from 1 species
GAUGCUGCCCAAAAAGAGAAGAAAAGAAUGAAAAUACUUUCUUAUCCAGCUGUACAAGUGCUCCUAACUCAGUAUCAUACCUCCCUUACUAGAAUUGUUGCUAUCCCAGAGAAAUGUUAUAUGGCUUCUUGUCCCAUUGACUAGCCACAUUCUCCUUUCUAUUUACUUUUCUAGGUGCCUGCUUCUCUUCUCUACUCUUCAACUCUGUUUUCCCUAAAACAGAACCUGUUUUAGAAGGAGUUACUAUUGAGUGUCUCUUCCUCUGUCAUCCAAAUAUCCUGGAUUUACUGGGAAAUGUUGAGUCUACAGAGGGCACAUUCCCACAAAUUAUGGGACUCAUGUUCUUGGUAAGGCUCUCACAGAAUUCACCUGUGCUGGACAUUCAAUGGGCAUGGGGGAUGGGUUAGCACCAGGCCCUGAGGCCUAUAGAAAGGAAGGAAGGUAUAAUGUUGAGAAUAAUGCUUGACUCUUCUCCACCCAUUGAGGGAUUUUAAAAUUUUAGGGCAAAAGAAAGGCUUUAGAGAUGCUUCUCCAUCUCAUGGCAUGAUAGUGGAAGCUGGGAACUCACUCUUGUGGCUUCUGUCUUGUCAUGGAACCAUCCUUUCAUAGAGAACUCAUCUCUUCUGUCUCCUUUUUGUUCCUCUAGAAUUCUGUUCCCUUUCUUUUCUUCUACUGCCCUGCUCAGAAUUUAGAAAGCUGAUUUCCUUUAUGUUUAGAGCAAGGAUUAAGAACUCAAAAGUCUACAGGAACCAGUGACAUAAUAAAGAAUAAUGUGAAUUAAAUAGGAACUGUGGCAAACUGAAAAGUACAUGCCUUGUCUCCAGGGACAGCAGCUAUUGGUUUCGGCAAAGUACAUCAUGUAGGUUGGAGGCCCAGAAUUAACAAGCCUGGAUCUUAAAUGUUGGCAAUAUAUUUUGAAAAUUGUGAAUGCUGUGCCCUCUGAACAAACCUCAUUUGCAGAUCCCAGUUCAUAGACCAUCAGUUUUCAACCGCUGCCCUAGAGAUUCCCUUACCAGAAGUUCUUAAGAUGGCCCUGCACAU